UACAGAGGUGGCAAGCGUUGUUCGGAAUUACUGGGCGUAAAGGGCGCGUAGGCGGCCUUCUAAGUCAGACGUGAAAUCCCCCGGCUUAACCUGGGAACUGCGUCUGAUACUGGCAGGCUUGAAUCCGGGAGAGGGAUGCGGAAUUCCUGGUGUAGCGGUGAAAUGCGCAGAUAUCAGGAAGAACACCCGUGGCGAAGGCGGCUCUCUGGGACGGUACUGACGCUGAGACGCGAAAGCGUGGGGAGCGAACAGG
rnacentral:rRNA from 1 species